ACACAAAUGGUUAAGCAGUAGCAAGGAAAUCCUUAGGAGAUCAAUCAUAUUAUGUUUAUGAGUAGGUUCUUAUUUAUUAGUUUUUCUUUUUUUUUUUGUGUAAAUCUUGUUUAAAGGGUUUUCUGUAGGGAGUCUUGAUAAACUGAAAAAGCAGUGCGGUUAUUUCGUCAUUCAAUGUUGGGGGUUGGAGGUGUUAGUACACUUGGGCAGAACUUGAGUGCGUGUGUGUAGGAGAGUGCUAGACCUAUUAGACGCAGCUACCGCAUUUGAGGAGAAACGGUUUAAACCUUUGUGGGGAAACAUGUCAUCAAGGCAGCUCUUGUGCCUUCUACUUGCUCUUUCUUUUUGCUCUACAAAAACCAGUAAGAGAUUUUCUUCUCCCUUUUGGCUUGAUUUAUGUGCUGUUGUAUCUUUGUCUUUUUUAAAAAGCCAUAUUUCAUUACUGAAUAGUCAUUUUCUAACACGCUAGUUGUGGGGCUAAGUCUAUUUUUGUUGGUUUCCCUUUAACUUUCUUUUCAAACCAGCUUUGAGAACCUUUAUGAAUAGAUCAUUGCAUUAUACAGUUACACUUUUUAAAGAAGCCGUGCGUAAUUUUAGAAAAACAAAAUAGUGACACACUGCUAUUUAAUUCAUUACCUAAAUAAAAGUAAUAACACUUGAACUUCUUUGAAUUAGUUUGAUUAUAGCAACCUAUACUUGUUUCUAAGCCAUAGGUUUACAAAUUUUGUGUUUGUUUAAAGGAUAAAAAUGAUUUUCUGUGCUUUUCUGGCAUGUACAAGAAACUGUCCUCAAGGAUUUAAGGAUAAAGUCACGGAAUAUCAUGAAAUUUAAUCACUAAAGGUGAACAGCCUUCGUGAUCCACUACGAGUAUCCAAAUAUUUAGUUUAGAGUGUUUUUAGCACUAACCUACAAAUAAUAAACAGCUUUUAACAUAUAAUAACUUAAUGGUUAAUGGUACUAACAAUGCUUUUUCUCAGAAUGAGACUUUAAUGUAUGACAUUAAUAAUAUAUUUUUUUAAUAUCUUAUCCAACCCUUGUAGUUGGAGAGUAGGUGUUUGUGUUAUAAAUCAGUUAUACGCUCCCUAUCCAUUUCUUCAUAGCAGGAUUUUUGCACUAUACUAAUUUAAUCUUUCACUCUCUAGAUGCAGAGACCAUUAUGGUGUCUAGUGGAGAUUCCGUCUUUCUACCAUGUCCUUUAGUGUUCAAGCACAGUAACAGGACCAGUGUUGAGUGGAAGAAGGAUGGAAGGAUUUUAUAGAACAAUUCUACAACUGUGAGGCUUAAAGUUAAAGAUGCACCAUCUCUCACCCUGCAGCUGAUGAACAGCACUAACUCCUUCUGUGUGGAGCUGCUCUGUUCUCUGCAGGGUUUGGAACCACAGCAGGUGAACUUCACAUGGAUCAGAGCAGCUCAGCGUCUUCACCAUCAUGAGUCCAGCAAUAUGAGCAGCUUUCUGAUGCUCUGCAAGCCAAACUGGACAGAAGGAGAAACACUCACUUGUCGUGCCCUCUACUCAAUCAAUCACACACUCUAUAUGAAGAGCAUCACAUUCCCACUAAACCUCCCAAAAGGUAUAGAUGGGGUGGCAUCCUGGAUAAUCAUUGUAGUUACAUGUGCAGGGCUUCUUCUCCUCUUUCUGCUUGGUGUAGCCAUCUUCAAAUGUAAGAAAAGGAAUGCAAAUGGAGCUAUAGUCUACAGAAAUAAAAUCUACGAGAACUUCACUUUUUCCAACGCUACAAUAAACCCCACUUCACUUCCACGGAAUGCUCAGCCUGGCAUCGAAACAAAUAUCAGAAGUACUACCAGAUCUACUCCACAUACACCCAGGCAGACUCCACAUACAGUCAGGCAGACUCCACAUACACCCAGGCAGACUCCACAAACACCCAGGCAGACUCCACAUACAGUCAGGCAGACUCCACAUACAGUCAGCCAGACUCAGAGAGAGGAAUGUAUCUAUGAGAACUAGCAAGACCUAUGCAAGUGCUAUCACGAAAAAAAAGGAAAAAUCCAGUGUUGGUGUCAGUGAAUUAUUAUUAUUUUUAUUUAUUUACUAGGCACUUUUUUAUAUUUGUAACACAAACUGUGGACACACUGUCAGUGUUUCUGCUCUAAAGUAGGACCAGAUUAACAGUGUCAUCUCUGUAAAUAUUGUUUAUUAUAAAUAAAUGAUAAAUGGUGCA